rnacentral:rRNA from 1 species
GCCCGCUCAGAAACUCAAAGGAAGUUGACGGGGGCCCGGCACAAGCGGUGGAGUAUGUGGUUAAUUCGAUGCAACGCGAAGAACCUUACCUGGUCUUGACAUCCCGGAGACCCUUAGGAAACUAGGGGGUGCUUCCAUCUGGAAGAAUCUGGAGACAGGUGCUGCAUGGCUGUCGUCAGCUCGUGUCGUGAGAUGUUGGGUUAAGUCCCGCAACGAGCGCAACCCUUGCCUUUAGUUGCCAGCAGUUCGGCUGGGCACUCUAAAGGGACUGCCGGUGUUAAACCGGAGGAAGGUGGGGAUGACGUCAAGUCCUCAUGGCCUUUAUGACCAGGGCUACACACGUACUACAAUGGCCGAUACAAAGGGCAGCGACACUGCGAGGUGAAGCCAAUCCCGUAAAAUCGGUCUCAGUCCGGAUUGGAGUCUGCAACUCGACUCCAUGAAGUUGGAAUCGCUAGUAAUCGUGGAUCAGCAUGCCACGGUGAAUACGUUCCCGGGCCUU